rnacentral:lncRNA from 1 species
UACAACUAAUGAGAAAUGUAUCCUAUUAUUCCAGUGCUUGCAGUUUCUCACCCCAUGAAAGCUAAUAAAUCUCUCUCUCGCUUUCCCCAACCAUUGCACACGGUGUUUAUUUUGAAAUAUGAAAUGUGAAAUUUGAGGCAGUCAGCUACGAGACGUGGAUUAUUGCUGAGGCGCUGGGAGAAGACGGGGAGCAGAAGGGGCUCCGUGUGUGGAUGGGGGACUCGGAGACCACAGACCUGGGGCCAGGAUCCAGGAAUCCGAUGACAUAUACAGGCUCUGUGUGUGUGCAUUUGAUUUUCCUUGUGGGAGAAGAUCCAGGUUCCUCUGUGGGAUCUGAAAGCCAGAGAAGGAUUCAGAGGGAUGCCCUCAUUAGAAGCAGCAGGGCUGGGCUGCCCCUCUCUCUCAAGGACAGGGGGCCUGGGAGGCGGCUUGGUUGGCACUCCCUGCCCCCUCUCCCUGAAGCCUCACUUCCGGGUGCUGGUCCUGCACCUGCCUCCAGGAGCUCAGAGAUGGGGCGAGCCCAGAUCCAUCCAAAACAUCCCUAUUCACAGUGGGGUCUGUGCACCCCACACCACUCCCAACAAAAAAAUCCCCAGAUGACACGGCCCCCGAGGACUCUCUCUGGAUACGUGCUCCCUGUUUCUGGGCCUGUAUCUCCAGGAGUCAACCAGUAUUCCAAGCUGGUCAUGGGGGUGCUGGUGGUGGGGUGAGUGGGGCAGAUGGACGUGUGAAAAUAUGAGAGGAGGAGGAGGAGGGGGAUUCCAUCCCAAAGUGCCUUUCUGGGGAGGGUGGCUGUGCAGUCUGCUGCCACUGAGGCCGGCCCCUCUCCUUGUGGGACCCAGGAAAUUUAACAAAAAUCCCCUACCCCUGGACAAGCAGAGCAGGACUAACUCCAUUUUGUGCUACACCUGCCACCUCCUGUAUGACCCCCAUGACCUGCUUAUUGCUUAAGGCGCUGCCCCACCCUAGUCAAGCCCCUGGACACACCCUAAUUGGAAAUCGGCUCAUAACAAUGUAACCCCGCCUUGUGCCCGCCAAAACUGCGCUCUGAUUCCGACCAGAGUGAUAGGCCAGCUCAAGUGGUCACUGUAGGGUGAAUCGUGAUUCAACUGGCCACCUGCGUGUGGACUGACAUGACUGUGCAACUUUCUAUGUGUGUUACAAUCCCAUGGGCCACUGGCCCCUAUAAAGCUGCUAAGCCUCUUAGCCUCGGGGUCCAAGUCCCUGCUCCGCUGUGUCGGGUGCACUUGGACCCAAGCUCGAGCUUGUAAAUAAACCCUCGUGGUUUGCAUCGGUGUCGGUGGUUUCUUGGGUUCGAAAUCUUGGGCACAACAUCCUAAGGCUUGGAGCCUGCUGGUCCCCGCCUGUGGACAUUAAUCCAGGACCCCGGCAGCCUAUGCAGCCGAGGACAGAGCUCCUUGUGGUGGUGACAAAUGUCUGAGCAGGUUAUUCUUAUAUCUGUGAAAUGUCUUCGGGUCCUGCUGCUACAGGCUUAAUGCAGGGGGCUUGUUAUUUGAAGGUAUGGGGCAGUAGGGAGGGGCCUGUGCACAUCCUAGGACAGCCCCGUGCGUCUGGGCCUUACGUCCUGUUCUCACACUGCCUCUCCCUCCUCUGAAGCAACUGGCACAUCUGAGCCAGCGAGCUGGGGCAGAAGGAGCAGAAAGGCCUGCGUCUAGGCCUGGCCCUUGCCACUGCCAUCGGCCUGACCCCCGGAAUUCAGGACCGACCUCCUGGACUCAGUCUUGACUCCCUAAAUCAGGACUGACUCCCUGGACUCAGGCUGACCCCCUGGACUCAGGACCGACCCUCUGGACUCAAGACUGACCUUCUGGACUCAGGACCAGCCCCCUGGACUCAGGUUGACCCCCUGGACUCAGACUGACCUCUUGAACUCAGGUUGACCUCCUGGACUCAGGCUGAUCCCCUGGACUCAGACUGAUCUCCUGGACUCAGGCUGACCCCCAGGACUCAGGUUGACCCCCUGGACUCAGGCUGACCUCCUGGACUCAGGUUGACGCCCUGGACUCAGACUUACCUCUUGAACUCAGGACUGAUCUCCUGAACUCAGGCUGACCCCCCCAGACUCAGACGGAACCCCCUGGACUCAGGCUGACCUCCUGGACUCAGGACCGACCCCCUGGACUCAGACUGACCCCCUGGACUCAGGCUGACCUCCUGGACUCAGGACCGACCCCCUGGACUCAGACUGACCCCCUGGACUCAGGCUAACCUCCUGGACUCAGGACCGACCCCCUGGAUUCAGGCCGACCUCCUGGACUCAGGCUGACCUCCUGAACUCAGGACUGACCCUCUGAACUCAGACUGACCUCUUGAACUCAGGACUGAUCUCCUGAACUCAAGAGACUCCUAGAAGCUUCUGCCUAACUGUCAAUCUUACCUUUUAGAAACUAAUGAACUACCAGAAUGGAAAAAAGCAACAUUUGAGGAAGCUGCCUAUGCAGAUGAAUCAGAAAAUGCAGGAAAGUGCCUCCACCUCAUCAUAAUGUUAAAAUCCCCCUCUGAAUAUUCAUCCCAAGCCCUAAUGAAAGGAGCCUGCUUUCUCUUGUCUGGGAAGUCACGGCUUGGGAAAUUAUCCCGUGAUCUCCUUAUUUGUACAAAUAGAGUGACCUUGCACCUGGUGCAGUCUCUGCAGAGACCCAUUUUGGUCCCAUAACACCACCUUCUAGAUGACGGGGGGGGGGGGGGGGUCCUCAGCAAGAGAUACAAUUUCUUUAUGCCUUUGCUUCCUGCAAAAUGAGACGACUGGGUCUCCCCCGAAAGGACUUGGCAAGGGUGGAUGUGACCACGCACAGAGAGCCUCGCACCUGGCCAGACACCACCAACAUUCACUAACUACUGUUCUAUGGCUCCCACUGCAGAGUUCAGGGGCGAGACCUCACUGCAAGCUUGCAGCCAGCUGGGACAUGAGCCCUUUAGAGGGGCUCGGAUAGUUUAGCAGAUCAGAAGCUAGAUCUGCAGCAGAAUGCCACGAAGGC